CUACGGGAGGCAGCAGUGGGGAAUAUUGGACAAUGGGCGAAAGCCUGAUCCAGCAAUGCCGCGUGUGUGAAGAAGGCCUUCGGGUUGUAAAGCACUUUAGGCUGGGAAGAAAAAGCUUCACCUAAUACGUGAAGCCUUGACGGUACCAGCGGAAUAAGCACCGGCUAACUCUGUGCCAGCAGCCGCGGUAAUACAGAGGGUGCUAGCGUUAAUCGGAUUUACUGGGCGUAAAGCGUGUGUAGGCGGUUCGUUAAGUCGGAUGUGAAAGCCCUGGGCUCAACCUAGGAAUUGCAUUCGAUACUGGCGGGCUAGAGUACGGUAGAGGGCGGCGGAAUUCCGGGUGUAGCGGUGAAAUGCGUAGAUAUCCGGAGGAACACCGAUGGCGAAGGCAACCGCCUGGGCCUGUACUGACGCUGAGACACGAAAGCGUGGGGAGCAAACAGGAUUAGAUACCCUGGUAGUCCACGCCGUAAACGAUGAUAAACUAGCUGUCGGGGCGCUUGGCGUUUCGGUGGCGCAGCUAACGCAUUAAGUAUCCGC
rnacentral:rRNA from 1 species